rnacentral:rRNA from 1 species
CCGACGGGUGAGUAACACGUAUCCAACCUGCCGUCUACUCUUGGACAGCCUUCUGAAAGGAAGAUUAAUACAAGAUGGCAUCAUGAGUCCGCAUGUUCACAUGAAUUAAAGGUAUUCCGGUAGACGAUGGGGAUGCGUUCCAUUAGAUAGUAGGCGGGGUAACGGCCCACCUAGUCUUCGAUGGAUAGGGGUUCUGAGAGGAAGGUCCCCCACAUUGGAACUGAGACACGGUCCAA